GCGCCCUAAAGCUAUCCAAUUUCAAUAGUUAAAAUAAGUAAUACCUAUCUUAGUAAUACAUAUUAAAACCAUCAAAAAUAAUUAAGCGGCUUUAUUACAUUUAAAAACCCAAAACUUCAAACGUAAAUAAAAGGAUGUCCAGCUCACCAGAAGAAAAUCAAACUUUCAGAACGGGUGGCCACUCCGAAUUCCCUCACAGCUCCAAGCCCACUAUGGUUGGGGAUUACCAGCGUGGAUGAAAAUAAAAAGGGUGAGUUUGGGGAAACUCAGUGUGUAAGGAAAACC
rnacentral:lncRNA from 1 species